GACGAACGCUGGCGGCGUGCUUAACACAUGCAAGUCGAACGAUGAAGCUGGAGCUUGCUCCGGUGGAUUAGUGGCGAACGGGUGAGUAACACGUGAGCAAUCUGCCCUUGACUCUGGGAUAACUGCGGGAAACUGUAGCUAAUACCGGAUACGAGACCUGAAGGCAUCUUCGGGUCUGGAAAGAAUUUCGGUCAAGGAUGAGCUCGCGGCCUAUCAGCUUGUUGGUGAGGUAAUGGCUCACCAAGGCGACGACGGGUAGCCGGCCUGAGAGGGUGACCGGCCACACUGGGACUGAGACACGGCCCAGACUCCUACGGGAGGCAGCAGUGGGGAAUAUUGCACAAUGGGCGAAAGCCUGAUGCAGCAACGCCGCGUGAGGGAUGAAGGCCUUCGGGUUGUAAACCUCUUUUAGCAGGGAAGAAGCGAAAGUGACGGUACCUGCAGAAAAAGCACCGGCUAACUACGUGCCAGCAGCCGCCGUAACAC
rnacentral:rRNA from 1 species